rnacentral:rRNA from 1 species
GGCGUGCUUAACACAUGCAAGUCGAACGAUGAACCACUUCGGUGGGGAUUAGUGGCGAACGGGUGAGUAACACGUGGGCAAUCUGCCCUGCACUCUGGGACAAGCCCUGGAAACGGGGUCUAAUACCGGAUACUGACCCGCUUGGGCAUCCAAGCGGUUCGAAAGCUCCGGCGGUGCAGGAUGAGCCCGCGGCCUAUCAGCUUGUUGGUGAGGUAAUGGCUCACCAAGGCGACGACGGGUAGCCGGCCUGAGAGGGCGACCGGCCACACUGGGACUGAGACACGGCCCAGACUCCUACGGGAGGCAGCAGUGGGGAAUAUUGCACAAUGGGCGAAAGCCUGAUGCAGCGACGCCGCGUGAGGGAUGACGGCCUUCGGGUUGUAAACCUCUUUCAGCAGGGAAGAAGCGAAAGUGACGGUACCUGCAGAAGAAGCGCCGGCUAACUACGUGCCAGCAGCCGCGGUAAUACGUAGGGCGCGAGCGUUGUCCGGAAUUAUUGGGCGUAAAGAGCUCGUAGGCGGCUUGUCGCGUCGGUUGUGAAAGCCCGGGGCUUAACCCCGGGUCUGCAGUCGAUACGGGCAGGCUAGAGUUCGGUAGGGGAGAUCG